UUUUUUAACAUGCAAAAGAUUUUCUCUGAUAAUGGAAUGAAACUGAUUUGUUGAUAUUGAGUUCCUCUCAAGUUGAUUUUAGUAGUUUGAAAAAUUUGGAACUCCACCAUGUAGAAGAAUGAGACCAGAGCAACACUCUAUUAUUCAGAAGACAUCCUUGUCAUCUCAUUAUCGUCUAUGUAUUAUGUUUGUGCAAAUAUGAAAUUGUAUUCAUGACUUGCUGCCCUGAGUCUCAGAAUUUACAAGACACCACUCCAAGAAUACAUGCCUAGUCUAUUAUCACUGAAAUAUAAUUGUUUAUUUGGAUAAUGUAGAAAAAUAUAUUAUGGGGACCCUAAGAAGAGGCACAGAGAAAAUCUUCUGAUAUGGAGUAUUGAAAACAUUAAAGAGGAACUUGGAUCACUGCAUUAAGAAAGAAAACAACAAAACAUUUUCCAUCUCAAAGUGCAGAAGUAAAUAGAUGUU
rnacentral:lncRNA from 1 species